GAUGAACGCUGGCGGCGUGCUUAACACAUGCAAGUCGAACGGUGAACCCGGAGCUUGCUCUGUGGGAUCAGUGGCGAACGUGUGAGUAACACGUGAGCAACCUGCCCCUGACUCUGGUAUAAGCUCUGGAAACUGCGUCUAAUUCUGGAUAUGUUACGUGACCGCAUGGUCUGCGUUUGGAAAGAUUUUUCGGUUGGGGAUGGGCUCGCGGCCUCUCCUCUUUUUGGUGGGGUAAUGGCUCACCAAGGCGUCGACGGGUAGCCGGCCUGAGAGGGUGACCGGCCACACUGGGAAUGAGACACGGCCCAGAAUCCUACGGGGGGCAGGAGGGGGGAAUAUUGCAAAAAGGGCGCAAGCCUGAAGCAGCAACGCCGCGUGAGGGAUGACGGCCUUCGGGUUGUAAACCUCUUUUAGCAGGGAAGAAGCGAAAGUGACGGUACCUGCAGAAAAAGCGCCGGCUAACUACGUG
rnacentral:rRNA from 1 species